UUCAUAUCUGAUCACAAUCUUAUCAUCGGAUCACAUUCUGGGGACUUCAUCAACUGCAUGCAUGUGUGAAAGAAAAGAAAAAUAUGUUGAUCCUCUAUAUUCACAAGCUAUAUAUUCAAACUACAAAUAUGUUCAAUGACUGAUGCUGUAUUUGAUAUGGAUCUCACCUCAGCUACAAAUAUGUUCAAUGACUACUCGUAUGUAUGUCAGUAGUGAAGUACUAUAAAGGCCAGGGUUCAAAAUAGACGCCAAAUUUGAAAAUGAUGGUGGCUGGGCUACACUAUACAAAGACGAGGUCAGUAGGUAUGAAAAUGAUUUACUUUAAUCUAAUUAGAGACAGAGAGAAAUGUUUAAGUACUAUAUAUUUAGUGAUGAGACUAAAUUAUUGAUUUAGGAUCGACACUUGUGAGUGGGGAGACCAAAUCCCACUCUCUCUCACUCUCACCAUAUUACACAGAUUUGGUAGAUUGCUUCAGCAAACCUAAUGCACCAUUAACGACAUUUUAGCUUC